rnacentral:rRNA from 1 species
UACGUAGGGCGCAAGCGUUCUCCGGACUUAUUGGGCGUACAGAGCUCGUAGGCGGUUUGUCGCGUCUGCCGUGAAAGUCCGGGGCUCAACUCCGGAUCUGCGGUGGGUACGGGCAGACUAGAGUGAUGUAGGGGAGACUGGAAUUCCUGGUGUAGCGGUGAAAUGCGCAGAUAUCAGGAGGAACACCGAUGGCGAAGGCAGGUCUCUGGGCAUUAACUGACGCUGAGGAGCGAAAGCAUGGGGAGCGAACAGG